AGAGUUUGAUCCUGGCUCAGAUUGAACGCUGGCGGCAUGCUUUACACAUGCAAGUCGAACGGCAGCGCGGGGGCAACCCUGGCGGCGAGUGGCGAACGGGUGAGUAAUGCAUCGGAACGUAUCCUGUAAUGGGGGAUAACGUAGCGAAAGUUACGCUAAUACCGCAUACGCUCGAGAGAGGAAAGUGGGGGAUCGCAAGACCUCACGUUAUAGGAGCGGCCGAUGUCCGAUUAGCUAGUUGGUGGGUAAAGGCCUACCAAGGCGACGAUCGGUAGCUGGUCUGAGAGGAUGAUCAGCCACACUGGGACUGAGACACGGCCCAGACUCCUACGGGAGGCAGCAGUGGGGAAUUUUGGACAAUGGGCGAAAGCCUGAUCCAGCCAUGCCGCGUGCGGGAAGAAGGCCUUCGGGUUGUAAACCGCUUUAGUCCGGGAAAAAGGGGUGCGAGGAUAAUACCCUUGUGCUUUGAUGGUACUGGAAGAAUAAGCACCGGCUAACUACGUG
rnacentral:rRNA from 1 species